rnacentral:rRNA from 1 species
ACGGCGUGGACUACCAGGGUAUCUAAUCCUGUUCGCCCCCCACGCUUUCGCUCCUCAGCGUCAGUUACAGACCAGAGAGUCGCCUUCGCCACUGGUGUUCCUCCACAUCUCUACGCAUUUCACCGCUACACGUGGAAUUCCACUCUCCUCUUCUGCACUCAAGUUCCCCAGUUUCCAAUGACCCUCCCCGGUUGAGCCGGGGGCUUUCACAUCAGACUUAAGAAACCGCCUGCGAGCCCUUUACGCCCAAUAAUUCCGGACAACGCUUGCCACCUACGUAUUACCGCGGCUGCUGGCACGUAGUUAGCCGUGGCUUUCUGGUUAGGUACCGUCAAGGUACCGCCCUAUUCGAACGGUACUUGUUCUUCCCUAACAACAGAGCUUUACGAUCCGAAAACCUUCAUCACUCACGCGGCGUUGCUCCGUCAGACUUUCGUCCAUUGCGGAAGAUUCCCUACUGCUGCCUCCCGUAGGAGUCUGGGCCGUGUCUCAGUCCCAGUGUGGCCGAUCACCCUCUCAGGUCGGCUACGCAUCGUUGGCCUUGGUGAGCCGU